GAAUCUUCCACAAUGGACGAAAGUCUGAUGGAGCAACGCCGCGUGAGUGGUGAAGGCCUUCGGGUCGUAAAGCUCUGUUGUUAGGGAAGACCAAGUGCGAGAGUAACUGCUCGCACCUUGACGGUACCUACCCAGAAAGCCACGGCUACCUACGUGCCAGCCGCCGCGGUAAUACGUAGGUGGCAAGCGUUAUCCGGAAUUAUUGGGCGUAAAGCGCGCGCAGGUGGUUUCUUAAGUCUGAUGUGAAAGCCCACGGCUCAACCGUGGAGGGUCAUUGGAAACUGGGGAACUUGAGUGCAGAAGAGGAAGGUGGAAUUCCAAGUGUAGCGGUGAAAUGCGUAGAGAUUUGGAGGAACACCAGUGGCGAAGGCGACUUUCUGGUCUGUAACUGACACUGAGGCGCGAAAGCGUGGGGAGCAAACAGG
rnacentral:rRNA from 1 species